rnacentral:rRNA from 1 species
UGUCAAUGCUUGUAAGAGUGAACUAGCUAACUGAAAUCUUAAAAUCAUUGUAUUGAUGGUUCUUGAGAUAACGUAAGGGAUAAAAAUGAUAUUACCUUACUAUAAGUGUUGUCCAACAUUACUGGUGCCAGAAGACUCGGUAACGCCAGAAACGCAAACGUUAGUCGUCCUAAACAGGCGUAAAGGGUAAGUAGGCUGCUUUGAAAGUUUUUAAUUAGAAAGCUCUUUUUUAAAAAAAAUUAAAGUAAUUAAUAAUGAAUUAAAGCUAGAAUCAAAUAGGGGAUAAGCCAAAUAAUAUUUAGUGUAAGGCUAAUAUCUUUAGAUACUAAAUGGAAUACUAAGGUGAAAACUUUUAUCUACUAAUGAUUGACGCUGAGGAACGAAGGUGAGAAUAGAAAACAGGAUUAGAGACCCAGGUAUCUC